UACAAAUUUCUACCAUCAAUUUGAGAAACAACUUGACAUUAUCUUUAAACCCAUGUCUACUCUAGAAGCAAACAAUUUCAUUCUUAGAGUUGCAUAAUGCCCGGCACAUAGGACACCCUUAUGAAAUGUUUACUGAACAAGAAGACAUCUUAAUAUCCAUGAAAAAAUUGCCUAUGUAAGCGAGGAAACAAAAGAAGACUCUAUACUGAUCCACUGAUCUAUAUAGUAGCCCUUAGGCAAAAGGAAAGUCUUGAUCAAUGUAGCUUUUUAAUAAACUUGAAAUCACAUACGAUUAAUCUGUAAUCCAUUUUUGGAUUGACUGUUACAGAGUGAUCCAGGGCUGUCAUUCUCCACUACAUAAAUGAGUUUUCUGAAAUGAGUUUAAGAAUUUUUGCUCCUCCAUAUUGAUUGUUUUGCCAACUUUAUUGUAUAUUAUGCUUCCAAAUAUAUGUCAGUAUCUCUGUUAUUUAUAAU